AAGUCGUAACAAGGUUUCCGUAGGUGAACCUGCGGAAGGAUCAUUAACACGUAUCCAACGUUAAAACAACCCUGUGAACCUUCAAUCUUGCUCGCGUGGCUCCAUGAAAGCAGCAAUCCCUGGUAAAUCAUUGUCGACCAGAUUUUGAGUCAGGCCAAGCAAUCAGAGUUCUGAAAGCGUCUUUGAUUGUGUAAGGGUGGCGCAAACACGAUCGUUGGAGGCCGACACGGCCGACGACCGGGUCCCUGGGUCACCAUGCCCCUUAAAUCACCACACUGUAACGCCGACAGGUCGCGAUAAUUCCGCUGACCACAAAAAACCGAACAACUGUUAACAAUGGAUAUCUUGGUUCUC
rnacentral:misc_RNA from 1 species